GAUGAACGCUGGCGGCGUGCCUAAUACAUGCAAGUCGAGCGAAUGGAUUAAGAGCUUGCUCUUAUGAAGUUAGCGGCGGACGGGUGAGUAACACGUGGGUAACCUGCCCAUAAGACUGGGAUAACUCCGGGAAACCGGGGCUAAUACCGGAUAACAUUUUGAACCGCAUGGUUCGAAAUUGAAAGGCGGCUUCGGCUGUCACUUAUGGAUGGACCCGCGUCGCAUUAGCUAGUUGGUGAGGUAACGGCUCACCAAGGCAACGAUGCGUAGCCGACCGGAGAGGGUGAUCGGUCACACUGGGACUGAGACACGGCCCCGACUCCUACGGGAGACAGCAGUAGGGAAGCUUCCGCAAUGGACGAAAGUCUGACGGAGCAACGCCGCGUGAGUGAUGAAGGCUUUCGGGUCGUAAAACUCUGUUGUUAGGGAAGAACAAGUGCUAGUUGAAUAAGCUGGCACCUUGACGGUACCUAACCAGAAAGCCACGGCUAACUACGUGCCAGCCGCCGCUGUAA
rnacentral:rRNA from 1 species